GUCCCUUUAUAUUGGCUACUCCGAAUGACAUCAAUGAAAUUCAUUUUUCCAGACAUACUUUCUCACAACAAAGCAACGACUUCUACACAUUUUUAAUACCAUUUUGUACUGUUGAUAUAUGUUAUAAAAUCAUGCCAUAAUAAAAAAUAUAUACAUUUAUUACAUUUAAGAUAUUUUAAUCCCAAAUGAAAUGGCUGUAUUCGCUUGAACGAUUAAACCGAAUGACCUUUAGACACUUCAAAAUCUUAGUUUAGUUGUACUGACUUACAUACUUUGGAUGUCAUAUCUUUGUUUUUUAUUAUUAUUAAGACCUCUGGACAAAAAAAAAAAAAAAAAAAAAAAAAAGAAAAGACCCAUCACCUCACUGACCAUUAGCAGGCUAAUUUCUGUAUUAUAUUGUAGACUGCCUUAAUGAACACAAAAAGUUUAGUCUUGUGUAAUGGACUAUAUGCACGGAGCGUUCUUUAGAACUUCCGCAAUAAUAUAAUCCAGCUGGAAAACUUCCAGUGAAAUGUCACUUGCUGGUGUGUUGAGCAUCAAUAGUGUAAUACUUAGUUUAUAAUCAUAAUAUAGUCACUUAAAUAGUCAGGCAUAGCAUUAAUUAUUCAAAUGUAAGAUGACAUACAAAAUAAAUAAAUAAAGACGUACCUCAGUGUUCCUCCUCGACUAAAAUCAAAUCGGCCAUCAGUUUUCACACUUUAGUGUGAAAAAUAGCGUCAACAAUUUGUAUUGUGCACUUUAGUUAGAUUCAUUGAAUAAAAUGUGUGUUUUCACAAGUGUGCCUAAAUCAUUGAUCUUGCACUGCACUGACUGACAAAGGGAAAGUCUCUUAAUAAUAUCUCGGUUGAAUGGCCGCUCAUGAAACCAGAUUGGUUGAUGUCCAGUUGGUUGCUCUGUGAGAGGAAAGAUGACACCUGAUUGAAAACAACUCCUUCAAGAGUUUUUGCUUCGAAUGGUAGGAGAGAGACAGGUCUGUAACCGUCUACAAGUGAUGUGUUUAAUGUGGGUUUUUUAAGCAGUGGGGUUACCCGAGUCGGUCUUCAUGGAGGCUGAACGCUGAAGCUUCCGCGACAGCACGCACACUCACAAUAAAUAUACCGUGUGGUGUUUUCACCCAUUUAACAGAACACACUCCAUGCGGUGUACAACUAACACUUCAACUUUUAUUCUUGUUAUCUGCAUUACUCAACACAAUUUCUCACUAGAGCCCCCUAGUGGUGCAGUUCCAAAUUACAUGCAUUACAGUAAGCAAUUACUAUGAAUAGAACAUCAAGUAUUAUAUACUUCUCAACACAACAUACUGCUUAUUAACGCGUGAUUGAAACCAGCUAUGCCUGCCUCUAGAAUUAGCACAGCGAAAGCCUAUAGCCCGUGAAUGGCUGAAAUCGAAAUUACUGCGAGAACAACACAGCGCUUAAGUGCAAAAAAAUGAGCAAGAACACCAACAAACUCUGCAAAUGCGGCUCUUAUUCUAAACAAGUACAAUUAAAAUACAAAUUAUAGUCAAGGAAAAUAGAACAAAAGCACCGAGUCGAAAAUAAUCCUUCCUAGCAGCAAAUAAUAAUCGAUGCAACUGACCCAAAACAGAUAUUAAGCAAAACACACGCUCUUGCCGUCUCCACUGCCAGCUCGCUACUCCUUUCACAGGUUAUUAAUGUUUAGAACUCAUGAAUAAAUGGUUCACAUGUGUUCACUUUACAUUAAGGUUCACUUUCGGGCAUUGAAUCAGUCCUCCAAUUUGAUCAAAGGAAGAAUUUACGUUUUGUUAACAUGGCUCUGAUAGCAGCAAAGAUAUGUAUAGCUAUACACUGGAAAUCAGAAUCACCACCCAGUCAUGCUGUAUGGCUUAGAGAACUUUUGUCCUAUGUGCCUGUGGAAAAAAUAAGGUAUAACUUAAAAAAAGAUUUGGGGCAAAUUUAUUGAAUAUUUGAAUAAUUUGGAUGUUACAUUGAUUGAAAAUGCUGAUGUGAUAAUGUAACCCUUCUUUACUUUAACAUUUUUUUUUAUGUAUUUGUAUAUUUAUUUUAUUAUUAUUAUUAUAAUUUUUAUCUUACACAUCAGCUUAAGGCCUUGUAAUAAUGUCCAUGCAAGUGUUCCGUCUCUUGAGGCGUGGGACAGGGGUGAGGGGGUGUUUAGAAAAAAUAUACUGAACUGAUUCUGUAAAUUGUUUAUGUUAAAAUAAUACAUAUAUUGAUUUAAAAUAAAUAAAUAAAUAAAUUUCAUCUUGAUAAACAAGAAAUCAGUUUUUAUACACUGCUGUGGAUAGGCAUCAUGACCUUUUUGGAGAGUAUCAUGGGUAAGACAGAAACUUCUUGUAAGCAACAUAGUAAGAAAAGUGGCAGUCAUGAGAUAUUAAUAAGAAAAGCACAAAUACAACACCCUUCAGUCUAAUUAUGAUAGUCAAUUUUUGCUGCAUCAAGAAAUAAACCAGGAAUCUGGUUUUGAGUUAAAUAAGUGUGAAUAAAUACAUUUGUUAAGCAUUUAUAACAUGCGAGUUAAAAAAAGGAUCACUAUUUGGCAGGUAUUGCGUUAAAGUCACCCUUUUUAUUCAUGCAGUUAUAACUGCUUAUUAAUGAUUUAUAAUGCAUUUGUACAUGACUUAUUACUCAUUAACAAACACCUUUAACAAACAACUUUACAAAGGGAACCUUAAUGUAAAGUGUUACCCAUUUUUUCAAUGUAAUUUUUUUUUAAUUGGAUAAAUGAAAACAUUUUUUCAGUGUACUUGCAAGUACACUAACUACUUCACUGAUUAGAAUUAUCAGUCACACACUUUCCCACCAGAGGAAGACUGCAUAAAAAGCACAUCACACAUAAAUAAAUACAUUUAUCUACCACACUAUAGUAACUUGCAUACUAAACGAAAGCUAUAUAUUAAGUAAAUACAUUUGUUAAUGUCAUGAUCACCUGUGAGAGUGCCCAUGAUUACCACCAGAGGGCACUCCACCCUGGAAUAUUAUAUCCCAUAUCCUUGGUUAAAAUAGUAAUUUUCUCACGAUUUACAAAUAGUUGGAAACAUUUGGGAUAUUGUAAGUGCUCAACUGAACAAACUAUAUAACAUAGUGGUUUGUGGAUAUUUUACUGCAAAAUUUUUACAUAUUGCAACUUAACAGUAGUUGGCAUCUAGUUUAAUGUAUUUACAUAUGAAUUUAAUAAUAAAAGCUGCCUCACAUUAUUUCCAGUAGUCUAUUAAAUAUUGCAGCAGCUGUUAACUGACUCCCAA